rnacentral:tRNA from 1 species
AGUCCGCUCGGUUGGAACGCUAGCCUCCGGAGCUAGAGGUCACAGGUUCGAAUCCUGUCGGGC